rnacentral:tRNA from 1 species
UGCGGGGUCGUCUAAUGGUAGGACGUCUGGCUCUGGACCAGAAAAUUUUGGUUCGAAUCCAAGCCCCGCAGCCA